rnacentral:rRNA from 1 species
ACACAUGCAAGUCGAACGGCAGCGCGGGUUUCGGCCUGGCGGCGAGUGACGGACGGGUGAGUAAUGCAUCGGAACGUGUCCUGUAGAGGGGGAUAGCCCGGCGAAAGCCGGAUUAAUACCGCAUACGAUCUACGGAUGAAAGCGGGGGACCUUCGGGCCUCGCGCUAUAGGGGCGGCCGAUGUCGGAUUAGCUAGUUGGUGGGGUAAAGGCCUACCAAGGCGACGAUCCGUAGCUGGUCUGAGAGGACGACCAGCCACACUGGGAYUGAGACACGGCCCAGACUCCUACGGGAGGCAGCAGUGGGGAAUUUUGGACAAUGGGGGCAACCCUGAUCCAGCAAUGCCGCGUGUGUGAAGAAGGCCUUCGGGUUGUAAAGCACUUUUGUUCGGGAAGAAAGCGUUAGGGUAAAUAAUCUUAAUGUAUGACGGUACCGAAAGAAUAAGCACCGGCUAACUACGUGCCAGCAGCCGCGGUAAUACGUAGGGUGCAAGCGUUAAUCGGAAUUAUUGGGCGUAAAGGGUGCGUAGGCGGUUUGUUAAGACGGAUGUGAAAUCCCUGGGCUCAACCUGGGAACUGCAUACGUGACUGGCAGACUAGAGUAUGGCAGAGGGAGGUGGAAUUCCACGUGUAGCAGUGAAAUGCGUAGAUAUGUGGAGGAACACCGAUGGCGAAGGCAGCCUCCUGGGCCAAUACUGACGCUGAGGCACGAAAGCGUGGGGAGCAAACAGGAUUAGAUACCCUGGUAGUCCACGCCCUAAACGAUGUCAACUGGU